GGAAGUGUAGCCUGAAGCACUGAGGUUUGGCUCUUGUCAUCUCAGCGUCGCCUAGCCUGGCCUGACUGGUGAGAACAUUCCGCAAACAUUUCCUGAGCUCUGUACUGAGGUUCAAGUGUAGCAGAUACAAAGGAGGCGAAUCAACUAGGCUGGCAAUGCCUUGGGGCCAAGCUUACCUCCACUGGAAAAGACGUUGCUAGGUCUGUCUAACACACCCUUGUCCUGUUUUUAGAAAAGCACCGCUCAAGGCCACCGGCAUUUCAUAUUUUCCAGCAUGUCUUUCACUUUGAGGCUGGUUUCCUUUAGCAGGGAAGGUCUCUGUCCUUGCCUGCAGAUAUUAAAAGUCAGAAUAAGAAAUGCUCGAAGUUCCCAUCGUGGUUCAGUGGUUAAUGAACCCGACUAGCAUCCAUGAGGACGCGGGUUCGAUCCCUGGGCUCGCUCAGUGGGUUAAGGAUCCAGCAUUGCCAUAAGCUGUGGUGUAGGUUGCAGAUGUGGCUCGGAUCCCGCGUUGCUGUGGCUGUGGCGUAGGCUGGUGGCUACAGCUCUGAUUCGACCCUUAGCCUGGGAACCUCCAUAUGCCGCAGGUGGGGCCCUAAAAGACCAAAAAAAAAAAAAGACAGGAAAAAAAGAGAGAAAUGCUAUGAAUUGUCCCAGGAGAGGGCAGAGAGCUUUGGGAGGAGUUAGAAACUGAGGCUGUCUGCGAACGUGUUUGGAGACUUGAAAGCAAAGAUUUCACCAGAGAGAGCUUCCUGGAGGAUCUCAGUCAGAACCCACCAGGAACCUGGAAUCCAUGGUGUCAGUCCAACCUGACCUUGAACGCCAGCAUGUCAUUCACCCACUGGCGACUCUGGGAUGUUCCCGAAAGUUAGAGGCUAUUGGCCUUUGUUCUGUUCACCUGACUUUGAGACACCGGCCAGAGGGCUCAGGACACUGUGAGAACGUGGAAGGUCAUUUGUUCGUCUUCAUCUGGGGUGGCCACCGUGGUCCCCUUGUUCCAGCUGAAGGCAGCCCCAGAAAAAAGCAGAAAGGAGGAGGAGUUUGCUUUUGGUCUCCCUGCCUCCCUUUCCUGCACCCUCGCCCUCACAGGGCCCGUAACCUGGGCCCAGGCAUCGAGGCUUUCUCAGAUAUGAUUCUUUCUGACAGAGUGAAGAAACCAAAAGGUUUGGAAUUAAGUAUCUGAAGCUGAGCGCUCUCGCAUCAGCUCUUUCAUUUCUUGUCCCCAAAGCCCCAG
rnacentral:lncRNA from 1 species